rnacentral:rRNA from 1 species
UACGGAGGAUGCGAGCGUUAUCCGGAUUUAUUGGGUUUAAAGGGUGCGUAGGCGGAUUGAUAAGUUAGAGGUGAAAUGUCCGAGCUCAACUCGGGAACUGCCUCUAAUACUGUUGAUCUAGAGAGUAGAUGCGGUAGGCGGAAUGUAUGGUGUAGCGGUGAAAUGCUUAGAGAUCAUACAGAACACCGAUUGCGAAGGCAGCGUACCGGCAUCCAACUGACGCUGAGGCACGAAAGCGUGGGGAUCAAACAGG